rnacentral:lncRNA from 1 species
UAAUGUGGUGCUUUCGUGAUGUAAUUUUGUGAUAUGCUAAUCAACUCAUACUUAUGUGGAAAAAAAUUGCGUCGGUUGGCUGCAUGUACUAUAUUGGUGCCAUAGUAUCACUUGUUGUCACUAAUUUUUUCUAGGUGAUAAAAGAAUGCCUAGGAUUGAUAAGUUUUUAUAAGCUCUUUGCUUUCAACUGAUUUGAAAAAUUGCUGACCAAGUCAAAAUAUGAACGAAAUCUAAUAUUUCAUUUCUCAAUGAAACAAAAAAGCAUAGUGCAUUAAAAUAAAUGAGUGAGCGAUUGUUGACCCUCUCAAAUUUGAUGACCCAAUUUCAAAUUGGUGACCUCAACUCAAUUGGAGGACUCCAAUUCUAGGAAACUUUGACCCACUCAAAAUCAUGAACACAAUUUAAUAUUUAAUUUCUCAACGAAACAA